ACUCAUCAUCCCGAUGAUGGAAACAUACACUCACACAGAGAAAGAGAGUGAGCCUACGUCUGAUUAUCCAUCGGAACCCGCUCAACGCCUCAUUACGUACACGGCCGAUAUUAUCUUUAUUAAGGGAUACGACAUUUUUUUUCCGUUUGCUCAGCCAAAACAGGUGUGUUAUAAGGUAUAUGUAUGUCCACAAGAGUACUGCAACGAUCAUUCAGGAGUCAGUCAACUGGAGGAAAGUUAUAGAGGUUGCAAGCAUGUUGGAUUACAGAGGCGUUGAUGACUUCCUGCCGAUAGUAGCAUACCAUAGCCUUGACCUUGGAUCUACAUUACUGUGCAGAAACGGCAGCUGGGUCACGCAGACACAUAUACCUUAAACUAAGGCGAACCCAACCGCGACGCCGCCACUGCUCUACAUUUGUGCGAAGGAGGCGAAACUGAAGCCAAGGAACGUGACGUGCAGAGAAAGAGAGAGAGAGAGAGAGGACGACGGCCAAAAUUUAUGGGCGCUUUAUCACUUUUCCGGCCUUGCCCCCCACCGACACUGGCGUCUCGCGAGAUGAACGUUAGCAAUACCACUUCAGCCUGCUUUUGAUGCUUACAUGAUUGACAGCCAGAAGAAGAUUGAGAUAUUUGAAGAUUACCUCGUAAUGUGUCACAUUUUACCAAAGACCUUUUAUCUUGGGCUACUAUAGAUACAUGCACGUGAAUUAUUCAUGCUCAAGAAGAAUCAUUUCCUGCACGAGCCUGUGAGUUCAGCAAGUGUUUAUACAGAUAGUGAAAUGUAUAUAACUCGUUCAAAGGCUAAGCAGUCUAAUAGUGCAUGGAUCCACUGAUUGA